UACGUAGGGGGCUAGCGUUGUCCGGAAUCAUUGGGCGUAAAGAGCGUGUAGGCGGCCCGGUAAGUCCGCUGUGAAAGUCGGGGGCUCAACCCUCGGAUGCCGGUGGAUACUGUCGGGCUAGAGUACGGAAGAGGCGAGUGGAAUUCCUGGUGUAGCAGUGAAAUGCGCAGAUAUCAGGAGGAACACCUAUUGCGAAGGCAGCUCGCUGGGACGUUACUGACGCUGAGACGCGAAAGCGUGGGGAGCAAACAGG
rnacentral:rRNA from 1 species